GUGGAACAGACAGAUGCCCCAUUCCUGUUCUGGCCCUGCCAUGGGUCCCGGGCUUCUCCACUGUGUGGCCCUUUGUCUCCUUGGAGUAGGUUACAUGGGUGCCAUAGUCACCCAGAACCCAAGAUACCAGGUUACCAGGAUGGGAAAACCAGUGACCCUGAGUUGCUCUCAGGACCUAAAUCAUGAUGUCAUGUACUGGUACCAACAGAAGCUGAACCGAGCCCCAAAGCUGCUGUUCUACUACUAUGAUCAGGAUUUUAACAAUGAAACAGACACCUCAGACAACUUCCAACCCAGCCGGCCUAAUACUUCCUUCUGUUCUCUGCGUAUCCGCUCACCAGGCUUGGGGGACUCCGCAGUGUAUCUCUGUGCCAGCAGCAAGUACACAGAGCUAGAGCGUAAGCUCUUCUCUGCUCAUAAACCUGUUUCCAAAUCCAAGAGCCCUCUCUAGACACCCCCCACCCCCAUCACACACACACACACAACAGCAAUAGGAAGUGGGUUUAUGGCUGCCAUUAUCUCCUUUGCAGUUGGAAGUUGGGCCUAAACCUACAAAAACCAUUGACAGUUAAACCAAGAGUGGAAAGGUGGUUAUCCUCACCUGACAUUCA